AUGGACAAUAUGCUGUGAUGCCCUUAGAUGUCCUGGGCCGCACGCGCGCUACACUGACAGAGCCAACGAGUUCAUCACCUUGACC
rnacentral:rRNA from 1 species